UACGAAGGGGGCUAGCGUUGCUCGGAAUUACUGGGCGUAAAGCGCACGUAGGCGGAUCUUUAAGUCAGGGGUGAAAUCCUGGAGCUCAACUCCAGAACUGCCUUUGAUACUGAGGACCUUGAGUUCGGGAGAGGUGAGUGGAACUGCGAGUGUAGAGGUGAAAUUCGUAGAUAUUCGCAAGAACACCAGUGGCGAAGGCGGCUCACUGGCCCGAUACUGACGCUGAGGUGCGAAAGCGUGGGGAGCACACAGG
rnacentral:rRNA from 1 species